CUUUUUCAUAUAUUUAACUAAUCGUCAAGUAAUAUUAGCUUUUUUCCAUUUGAAAGGAAUUUUGUAACUACUCACAAAAGUAAUUCACCUAUUUUAUUAUGCGUAUAAAGAUCUAAGCUCAUACUUAGUCGGGAAAAUGCAAAAACUUGAUUGUUCUAUGCUAAUGCACGUAUGAUUAGUUAUAUCUUGUAUAUAAUUCAACAUGUCAAUACUUCUCCCCAUGAAAGUAUUGUGCUAGAAACUAAAUCAAUGUAUCAAUAGAACUUACCAUUGUAGAUUAUUCUCUGAAGCAUUUCUUUUGGAGUAAUUUUUAACAACCUCCAAGAUACUUCCAAUUUUGCCCUCUUCAAAUUCUUCUUUAAGCUGAAAUGGAUGUACAAUGUAAAUUUGAUAACAUGGGGACACAACUUGUCAAUCAGGAUGUGAUAUUUGCACAAUUGCAUGGCAUGACUCUAGAAGCAAUUUGAACAUAGUUGUAUUUUCCCUCUAUAGCUAGCCUAAAUUAUAGAGAAUUGCUGAAAAUCAGCAUUGUAAUAGGAAAUGAUUACCUGUGAAUCUCUAUAUAAAGAGAAGAACACGUUCAAUGAAGAUCAUCAAUCAAAUUCCAAAAAGUUCCAUCAUCCUUGUCAUG
rnacentral:lncRNA from 1 species